rnacentral:lncRNA from 1 species
GACUUUUCGCUUAGAUCAAGUUUCUUCAACGGCUGCUAGUUCUAAACGAGUUUCAAGAAGAACUCAGUGAUGGCGAGGCCCGGUUUCUUCAUUCAAAUUCUCGAGACAAGCUUGAUGUAACCGGCACGAGCUCAUCGUCAGAGAAUACCAUCUCGUCUGCCACUAACUCAGCAACUCAUCAUCAAAGUUGCGAUUGGCAGUAACAACGAAGUGUCAUCAUGUCUUCAUCAUGGUCCUAGCUUGGCAACGAGCUCCAUGGAAUCGUCGGCGUCGGUGGUAUCAGUAUCUCACCGGUCACGGAAACAUGCAGAUCGACGAGGCAACGAGACAAGAAGAGUUUGAUGAGAACAAGCUCUGGAGUUGAGCUGCUGAUCCGCUCCUGCUCGUGAUUAGAGGCUUAGGGAUUUCAGUUCCCGACACCAGCAUCCUACAUCCUUGCUUCGCCUCUGGCUGCCGUUUCAUGACUCGGCUCGGGCU